GGCGCUGUAGCUCAAGUGGUAGAGCGCUUGCCUUGAGCUGAAGAGCUGCAUGAGGCCCUGGGUUCUAUUCCUCAGCACCA
rnacentral:tRNA from 1 species